CGCAGCAGUACAUUAAUUUGAGUUAAUAUCUGCUCUAUACUUGAUUUUUCAAGUAGUAUGUACCUAUUACAAAAAAAAUGUACAUUCAGAAUUUCGUGACAAAAGACAUCCAAGACUGAAAAUAUGUAGCUAAUAAUAACACUAUUUUUCAAUGAAAAAUCCUGGUUGAAAAAUUGAUGAUGUAUUUUCCAUUUUAAAUUACGUAAAUGAAACGAAGACGCAUAAAAACAUUUUUGCUGUUAGUAUUGACGUAUUUUUCCACAUUAAUACCAAAUGGGAACGCCAAAUUUGGAGACUAUUUAAAAAACUCACUCAACAAAACCAAUCACAUCGUCAAUUUGAACAUAACCGAUACCUCACAACAAAAUGACCAUUUUGACACAAACCUCCAAUACCAAAAACCAUCUCCAACUCCACGUCGAGAAAAUUUCGAAGUUCGAGAAGUUCGUAUUUACGCCACCAAUCCAAGCCCCAUGUACCAAAAUCGAGAAAGAAAAAUGCUCGAAUCGCUUUUCCCAGACAACGCUUUACAACCAGGACAAGAUUUCGAUUUACGAAAACAAAUCUACGGUCCGGAUUUAAAACAAGAACUGGAUUCGUUGCUCGAACACACCUCUCCUAGCUGGGAUCAGUUACAAGCUCUUUUGAGAAAAGCCAAUCGAGUAACUAGAUUACCGCAAUCGAUGUAUGACGACUACGUAGAAGGGGUCAGAAAAUCACCGGACACUGAGUUUAAAAAUCUUCAUGGCGAUUCUGAUAAAUUCAAUGCUGGAAAAAACUCCUCCAAAAAAGAAGAUUUGAGCGUAGGGACCAUGUUCAAGCGAUAUUUGCAAACUUCCAUGGAUCUGAGUAUGGAUUUUGGUAGAGGACGUCAAAUAUAUCCGUUUGCAGGUGAUUUUAGUUUAUCCGAUGCAGUGAUAAGAAAUAAACGAGAAAUACGAGUACACCGUGAUAGUAAUUUUUCAAGAUUUAUGCCCGAUGGAAGAACUAUAAAUUCUCAAUUAUUUGGGCCAACUCGACUACCAUAUUUUAGGAAACCACCUCCUCCUAGCCAGUUUUUUAGAACCAGUCAAUUCGCGUACAAUUCCUUUAGACCUGAGUACUAUUCGAGAAAAGAAAAUAAUUGUCCACGAUUUCCAUCAGACCGAAAAGCUGUAGGUCUAAAUCAUCAAUCAAUCCUACAAUCUCAACAACCAUAUUUUAGGAGUGCAAUUCCCACAAGCCAGUUUCCAAGAACGAUUAAAUUCACACCAUACAACUCCUUCAGACCUAUAAAUUCCUAUUCAGGGAAAGUAAACGAAGCAAGAUUUUAUACCAGAAGUUCAUUCCAGCAAAAUUUCAAGAAUAAUAAUCCUAACCAAAUAUAUUUCAAAACAACGUCGAAAAUUACCAAAUCAACACCACAUGGAACUUUCGAUGCUACGUGGAGAGAAUUGGUGCAACAAAUAAACCCAAUUCAGCAGAAAAUAAUACAAGAUUUAUUUUUACAUGGGCCCCCGACAACAUCCGAUCAUAAUUCACAAACAUCUCUAUCAAAUUUGAAAAUGAAUGGGAAACAAAUCAACAACUCGUUGAUUUCUAUUUCAUCACAACCAUCUCAAAAUACGAGUACUUCUUUCUCGACAUCGAAAUUCCGUAUUCGAGAAGUCGAUAGAAGAUCCACGACAAGAAUUCAAUCCACGUUGAAAAAGAUAUUCACUUAUGGCCAAGUAUGGAUAACAAAGAGUACCAGCCCUAAUUACAUCUCGCCAAAAUUACGCACCACUGCAACUGUAACGAUAGAUAGCAAUUUGAUGAAAGAAUGGCUAAAAAGUUUAAAUCCUCAAGAUCGCGAGGAAAUGGAAAAUUUAUUUUUCAAUGCUCAAUCAUCUCCGCCAUACGAUAUACGCGACGCUGAAAGCAUUAAGAACGCCAUAAAGAAUGAAUUUUUACAACGAACUGGGAAAUCAUUCGGUGCAGGAUUUUCUCCUAAUAAUCUGAAAUCGACGUUUAUUUCAAGAAAUGAUAACAAAAGAAGGCUAGCAGAGGAUACAGGUGUGCGUUAUUAUGACUAUGAAGAUUUAUCAAGACUUCUAAGGCAAGCACCUCAAGAUAAGUUGAAAAUAGUUGAUGAUUGGUGCGAAGAAAUAGAAAGGGAUUUACAUAGAAGAUUUCCUACUGCGAUAACAAAAUAUGGGGAUACCAGAAAUCCGGGUCCAUUUCCCACGACCAGAUAUUAUCCGUGGGAAUUAUUCUCGAUGCUUCCGUAUCGAAACUGAACGAAUUAAAUAAGCAGAAUCGUGAAUUAAAUCAAGCGAAGGCGAAGGAUACUUUAAUUAUUUCUGUAAGUGGGUAUUUUCAUCGAGAAAAAUCACAUUUGAGACUUGAGUUACCUAUAAGAAUUGUUUCAAGGGGAGAGGGUUACGCUUCGAGCUUAUUUAGUUUUUUCUAAAGGCUCACUAUUCAAAAAUAGCGUAGGUACCUACAUUAUAAUUUGGUUUUGUAGUUUGAGAUGCAUUUUGGAUACCUUUUACAUUUAUUCUUUGAAUACCUACUUACCUAUCUAAUAUUCAGCUAUGAUCAAUUUUUUUUUUUUUAAUUGGAAAAUAUACCUAACAUUUUUUUUCAUUUCUAUACCACCUAUCUCUUUUCUAUUUUGCAAUCUUUUAAACAAGAAACAGCUUUGAAAAAAUGUUCAGACUUUCGAUUGAGGAGUAGCAGGGCUCAAAGUUGAAAAACAUUUCCGAAGAAUUCAAUAAAAAUUGAUCAGAUAUCUACUCAGAGGCGGACUUGAGGGGAGGGGGGUUACAGAUCACACCCCUCCCAAUAUUAGAGAAUUCGGAAUUUUCCGGCAAAAUCGUUAAUUUGCCUACACGAUUAUUCAUCUAUCAUAACAAAUUUUCAUUUUUUUCAAAAUAUUUUUGCCAUUCUCAAAUUAUUUAUAAAAUUGUGCCUGGAAAAUAUUUUUGUUCCAACUACUAAAAUUGUCAGUGGUGGAAAAACUGACUUAUCACAUCAAAAUUACUGAUGUUCUGCUCCUUGAAACUAUACCUAAUUACAAAUUUUGAAAAGUUUUUGCCUUCGCUUCGGCCAAUUCGGUUCUCUUCCUUGUUCUUAAAAUUUCAAAAACCCAUUGAUAAAAUUUUUGAACUUAAGUAUUUAGUUUUUUUCUAAAUGCUCACUAUUCGAAAAUAGCGUAGGUACCUACAUUAUAAUUUGGUUUUGUAGUUUGAAAUACAUUUUGGAUACCUUUUACAUUUACUCUUUGAAUACCUACCUAUCUAAUCUUCAGCUAUGAUUUUUUUUUUUUUUAAUUGGAAAAUAUAACAUUUUUUUUUCAUUUCUAUACCUAAGUAGCUAUUUUAUAUUUUUUCCUAAUAAAAGAAUGAUACGAAACAUAAGAACAGAUGAAAUUAACAACCCAUCAGCUAUUAGCAGAUUUGCAAAAGAGUUUUUGCUUUUUGUUUUUUAAUUUUUUCUUCUUCGUGGAAUUUCAUUUGAUUACUUACAGACAGCCAAAAACAAGAAAUUCAUCACAGAGUAAUGAAUUUGCAAAAAAUCUGAAAGGAAGCUGAAUAAAUAAACCCUUUUUUUUGGCUAGCUUUCAGCUUUACUUCUAUAGUUUUAUCUUUUCAUUUUUAAAUCAUACAGCUUUGGCUUUGGCUAGCUUUUAACUUUGAAAACACCCAAACUUCCUCGGCUUUCAGAUUUUAUUUCAGCUUUCAGCUUGAGCUAGUUUUCCAUAAAUAAAAUAAAUAUUAAAUAAUAAAAACAUAAUCAAUUAUUAAUCUAAUUCCAAAUUAUAAAAAAUAAAAAUCUCUCAUCUGGCAAUGUUAAACACUAAUCACAGAUAGGUCCCUCCAAAAUACUGCUCACUGAUUUGCUCCAAAUUGAAAAAAACUCAUGAUUAAAAUCAAUUGCAAUAGGGUUUCUAGCUGCUAGCAGCAAAAAACCCUAAAAAAGACGUGAGCGAGUGUUGUUUUUUUUAUUCGGGGGGGGGGGGGAAUUAAGAAAAUACGACUGGGUUGUCCUGUCAAAUGACUUUUCUGGAGUCUGAAUUGUGCAGUAGUGUAAAUUUUCAUGUGAAUAGAAAUGAAAACUUCGCAGAAUUCUACAAGAACCCGAACAAAAUCAUCCGGUUUCUGGAAAAAAGAAAAGAUGUAGGAUUCAAGAUACCAUAGCCUACUAAAAAGAUGAACAAUCCAGUAUAGUUAGUUAUGAAGAUGACUCGAAUCGUGUAUUUCCUUCAGUUUCAAUAUUAGGAAAUGACGUCCACUGUGUUUUUAAAGGAAAAAAACAAAGGUGAUGUCCAUUUUGUAUUGUAGUAUCGCAAAGUUCAUGUAAAACAAGAUCUUAAUUCUUAUACUUUCAAUAGAUGAUGAACGAAUUAUGCCGAUUGUUGCAAUUGUUGGGCCCCGUGAUAAUAUUCUUGAUAACUUAUUGAUGGAAUAAAAAUAUUUGAUUUUUAUUUUAAGUAGGUAUUCUUUCUCACUUUCAAUUCCGAAAAAAUGUAUGAUAAAAAUAGGAAUCAAUAUACCUACAAUCAUUUAAAAAUAUCAACUUUUCUACUGGCAUAUGUUCCGUGAACGAUGUGAGUAUACAAAACCGUUCCUCUUCUGUUCUCGCUUCUCUCAGAUCAUUCAAGAUAUUGCUUUCAAAAAUUCACAAAAAAAAAUCCAGAAUGAGUCAAAAAGCGUAUUAUAAAAUGAAACAAGCUACAUAUCAUCUAUUUCCCUGAUUGCAAGAUAGUUUUUGCAUUUGCUUUCACUGCGUAUAUUGAUUGAUUGAUGGUUGCAUUAGUUGGUACCAUAAGUUUGCUUUUAAAUAUCAACUUUGAAGCAUGAAGCUGAUUUUUCAUGUCUUUGCCUUUUAUUUUUUAUAUAAUUUAUAAAGUAGAAUGUACCUACUACCUACACCUAGACUGAUUGCUUUUAUCAAAAUGAAGUCAAAUAAACUUGUAAAUUAUAACAUUCAUGAUUCAACUAAAUACGAAUAAAAUCAUUCGUACACGAAUAAAAAAAUAUUUACGUAUUGAAAAUUAAAUUCCAAAUCAGUCCCAAAUUUGGUUUUGAUAAACAGUAAUUGCUGAUUGCCUUUUUAUGUCGAAAUACUGUUUGUUGGCUGUCUAUAAACUGAAGAUUCAUAAAUUUAUUGCCAUAAAAAAUUGCGUAGAAAUUUCUGAAGGAUACAGUGAAUUGGGUUUAUUGAAAAAACAUAGGUUUUUCGCGCAUCGCGCUAAAACUAUAAAAAUGCAAAUUUUUCAUUUUUUAAAAACAGAAUCACUGGCUUCCUGAAAUUUUUUGAUACCUUAAAAGAAGGUUAGGUCCAGAAGGGUCUGUGAUGAAAUAAAAUCAUACUUUCUUAGGUACUUCUCAAAACACAUAAAAGCUUUACCCCUCGCUUUGUUCGGACUUAUUUCCUUUUCUUUUUCAAAGUUGAAAUUUCUAAAAAAAAUGUAUCAUUCAAUUUUCAAAGUUUUGAAGUGAAAAAAUAAACUUCUCGCAUAAAAAGAUACCAAUCGUUUUUAGUUCUCUCAAAUCUCAAAAUAUUAUACAAAUUUUCAAAAGUUUUCGCUCUCGCGGUCCUGAUCUUUCUUCUACAAAAUGAACUUCCUGAAUAAAAACAUCGUUUUUAGGCCUCUCGAAAUCGAAUUUUUAAAAACUUUCACCCUUGCUUUGCUCGGGCCAGUCUGUUUCUUGUUUUGAAAUACAGAAAAAAAUACAUUUGGGCCCCCACAAAUUCAAAACAGAAAAUUAAAAUUUCUACAAGUCACACCUAUGAAUGUGAUAUCAAUCGGCAAAAUUGGAAUUUUUCCCCAUAUCAGUCGGGAAAUUUUCAGUCAAAUUCCUUCCCCUUCCCCCCCAAUCCCUCUCAAUGGAGCCAAAUUAUAAUUGCCCUGGGCCCGCAUUGGCUCUUGACGGUCCUAACCACAGGGCUCAACAUGUUGAAAUUGUUAUUAUUGUCGGGGAAAAUUCCAUUUUUUUUUGCCGACAAAAUGACUGGAUCCCCCUCCCCCUCAUUUCCAACCACGUAGCAUGACUUCGAUCCGCCUCUUUAUCUACUUAUUUAAUUGUUUUCUUGUGGCCCCUUUAGACUUGAAAACAAACUCUUUUUUUCUUAGCUUUUUUAGUUUUUUUACCUACAUAACAGACGAUUAAAAUUUCCGGUACUUUGCUUGAAACUUUCAAAAAUGUCGAAUGCUAUGAAAUGUUGAUGUACCUUUAAAUCAACACCUGAAUAAAGUCUUUUUGGCAUGAAAACGCCUUUGAAUAAUUUUUAAAAAGAUGCGUGUAAAAGUUAAGGGAUUAAAAUUUUGCAAUUUUGUAAACAAAAAAUAGGUAAAAAUAAAAAAAAUAAACAUUCGAAAAAACUAGCGCACGGAAUGAAUCCUCAGUUUUAAUAAUGAAUAUAUAGGUACGUUAAAUAUUAAGUAAGUACACCUGACCACAUUUCUUCAUUUUGACCCAUCGUAUGAGAAUAAAAUAUUUGUUCAACAUUCCUUUGUAAAUUAUGAAGUUGAAUAGUAUAUACCAAAAUAAAAAGUUUCAAAAAAUAUAUCAUUCUUAUCUCUCGUAAUCAAGUAUAGCGUACAGCCAGUCGAUGAUUGAUUUUGUAAUGAUAAAUUACAUCCAUCAACGCACUGAAAGAGAAGCACUUGAAUUGAAGAGUAUGAUAAUAUUUCAUCGUAAAUCUUUCUCUCAUGCACUCGGUAUGAUCUUAGAAGCACACUUGUGGACUCGAAAUGAAAAUAACAAUAAUCGUUUUGCUCACACUGAUUUCAUGUUGCAUUCGUACUACAAAAGCUGCACCUCGUCAAAAAACCGAGAUCCAAAGAAAAAUUCUCGACGGUUUGGUAAGACUCAUCACAAAACGAUCCUUUCCUCCUCUACUUCAAGAGAUAAAACGAUAUUUCAAGGCACAAGACGCUCUACGAAAACUGAUAACUGACGCUGUUAUAUGGAAAUCGGACCAAAUCGAACGUGUUUUGAAAAUCGUAAGAGAUAAAGUUGACGCAGUCGAAUCAAUUUUAUGGCUAUUGUUUAAGACUAAGAGUAAACCAAAAGGGCGUCCGGAUUGGGAAUGGUUGGAUUCGAAUUACGAGUGGACUACUAGACGAGGUGGUCGUCCAGGGACGAGAAAUCCCAACAAUGCGAUGAGAAACCGAGACUACAACAACAAUAACAAUAAUGAUAAUAAUGGCGAUUACAAUGACGAUGACGAUGACGAUGACGAUGAUGACGAUGAUGAUGAUAGAGGUGGUGAAGAUGAUGGAGAUGAUAGAGAUGGUGGUGAUGAUGGAGAUGAUGGCGACGAUGGGGACGAUGGAGGUGGUAAUGAUGGUUUUUAAUCUUCAUUUUCAGACAUCAGAAAAUCAUAAAUCGAAGUUCAAAAUAUUAGGUACAUAUUUGUACGCAGCCUUAGCCAUAAAAUUUGAAUAUUUCAACAUUUGAAAAAAUUUGUUUUACUGAGUAGGCCUUCAAAUUUGAUAUUACCAACAUAAAUCGAAACAGUAUUCAAAAUACUUGAAUUACUUGUCAAGUAGUACCUAUUAAUUAAGUACCUAUCCAUUUAUUUUUUUUCAAUAUACAUAUUUUUGAUAAGAAUCGUUGCAAAAAUGAAUGCUUGAAAAAAAUACACCACAACACAGCUAAAAUAACAACUCGAUCGAGUGCUCCAGGCCACGUGACAUACGUAAAAACAUAAUUUGAAUAACUGUGCACUUGAUAAUGAUAUGUAUAACUCGAUAUCAUAGAUCGAAAUACUCAUUCAGCGAUAGCCAACCUUAUCAGUUAUCAUCAUGAUUAUGAAAUGAAAAAUCAAACAUCGUUGUUGUAAUUUUAAAACCAAGCAGAUGAAAGAGCUUAUCAAAUUGAUGUUGAUUUUAGGUAGCAAUUUCCUCAAAAAUAUUGAAUUGAAAUAUGAUGUCUGAUUUUGAUCAUUUCUUCACAACUUUGUAAAUGAACAAAUUUUUUAUCAUUUCGUUUUAUUUUAUAUCUUGUUAUACUAAUGUAAUAACUUAAUUGGAAAUUCGUUUGGAAUAACUUUGAACAAAAUGUGAUUGCCCAAAAUAUUCCAACGAAUCAGUGGAGUCUAUGAAUUUAUUUGUCAAACUGCCAUCAUGAGGAUCGUAUACGUUUUACUGUUACUGGUAUCCCACAUCUAUAAUAACCCAACGAUCGCCGGACGUGUAGGUCUGAUCGAAUCCGAUGAUUCAGUUGUUUACAUGGAAUCAAUGCCCAAAGCACCACGUACCGAUCAAUCACUAGAACGAUACGGAGACUACGGAGAGUAUUACGAUCCAGGAUCAUCUGAAUCAGAUAAAGUAAACGAGACCGACUUGGAGUACUACAUGAAACAGCUCGCGCUUCUAGGCCCCAGUACCAAAGCUUACGGAGGACCAAAUGUCAAACACAGAUUCAGUUUCACCUUCUUUACAAUCGUCACCGAAAAACAAACACACUGCACGAGGAAAAAACCACGAAGUCGUUCGCCUUCAACUCACGUUUAUUUAUACACCCAACGUAAAACCAAGUACCCCAGAACAUCGCCUAAUCCGAAUAAAAAAACAAGACUGACUACGAGACAAUUGCAAUUUUCCACCGCUGCUGUGAGAAGAAAAAGAUUAAUCGAGGAAGAUGGUGUUUGUAAAAUUGGAGAAAAUUAUGUUUGCGAUGGUACUUUGUCCACAGAGUUUAUGCAUUUCUCAACAACACCUGUAGUAAGAAAGAAAAGAUGGGUUGGAGAUAGUCCUGAGCGAAUGGAUCGGUACACGACGUUUGAUAGUCUGGAUAGAGAACUGCUCUACUCAGGGAGAUACGCACCUUGGCAAAUUAAAUUUUACGCGAUGCGAAAAUAUUUCGAUAAAAAUAUGACUCCGCCGUUCGUAACAAAGAAGCGUAUCGUUGGUAAACAAAAACUCAAAAAAUUACUGCGCAAGAAAAGCAUACACGAGCCCGGUUACAAGCAAAAACUACGCAUGAUGUCUUUCGAUCAAAUUUACAAUGAUAGUAGACUCUUUCCUUGGAAUGCAACCGUUCGACAAAUUUAUAAAGAAAAAAGAUGGAAACAUUUGACCCAAAAGUUGCCCGUACUGUGAGAUUAAUCGACAUUUUUUUGAUAACAAAUAUAAAGUUUAUUAUAUCUAAGAAA